AUGAUGUCAGAACGCUCUGUGGGCAUUUGCUCCUCGCACCUGUUCGCUGGGGGGAAAGGCAGGGAAUCUCCUUCCACAGCUCUGGCUUAUGGGCCUGGCAACUGGGGGAGAGGAGGAAAGAGGGAGACACUUCAGCAAUUCAGAGCCAUGCUAGCCUGCUCAACCUCAUGGCAAAAUGUGCUUCUCUCUACACUUUGGAAAGAAAAUGAUUUAAAGCAAAGCUGCAACAAAUCCUUUCCCCACUGGAAAUACUCCCAGAGGAAGCUAACGCCUUGCCCACAAGCGAUCACUGAAUAACAGCCUUCCUCCAAAUCUUGACUUCGAAAGUUGCUCCGAGUUAAUUAACAAUGUGAGCCUCUCCAAACCUUCUCCCCUGACCAAGGCUUACAAAGAGCAUGCAAGUGGGAACCAAGUGACCCAUGGCUAACCACAAAUCUACUCAUGUGGCACGAGUCAGCAAUUCAUUUUUGACUCAGCCAAAAGGGAAACAAACAUUAUUAGCCUAACUGAAAUGAAGGAAAAGUUCACACCUCCCUGCAGGGCAACUGCACCCACCUCCUGGAGGCAUUUGAGCUCAGACUUUGGAAAAAACAGAGAAUUCUAGCCAGUCAGAGAAUUUUAGUAUGCCUGCG
rnacentral:lncRNA from 11 species